GACGAACGCUGGCGGCGUGCCUAAUACAUGCAAGUAGAACGCUGAAGGAGGAGCUUGCUUCUCUGGAUGAGUUGCGAACGGGUGAGUAACGCGUAGGUAACCUGCCUGGUAGCGGGGGAUAACUAUUGGAAACGAUAGCUAAUACCGCAUAAUAGCAGUUGUUGCAUGAUAACUGUUUGAAAGGUGCAAUUGCACCACUACCAGAUGGACCUGCGUUGUAUUAGCUAGUUGGUGGGGCAACGGCUCACCAAGGCGACGAUACAUAGCCGACCUGAGAGGGUGAUCGGCCACACUGGGACUGAGACACGGCCCAGACUCCUACGGGAGGCAGCAGUAGGGAAUCUUCGGCAAUGGACGGAAGUCUGACCGAGCAACGCCGCGUGAGUGAAGAAGGUUUUCGGAUCGUAAAGCUCUGUUGUAAGAGAAGAACGAGUGUGAGAGUGGAAAGUUCACACUGUGACGGUAUCUACCAGAAAGGAC
rnacentral:rRNA from 1 species